AGACUGAACGCUGGCGGCAUGCCUAACACAUGCAAGUCGAACGGCAGCACAGCAGUAGCAAUACUGUGGGUGGCGAGUGGCGGACGGGUGAGGAAUACAUCGGAAUCUACCCUGUCGUGGGGGAUAACUAGUCGAAAGAUUAGCUAAUACCGCAUACGACUGUGAGGUGAAAGCGGAGGACCUUCGGGCUUCGCGCGAUUGGAUGAGCCGAUGUCGGAUUAGCUAGUUGGACGGGUAAACGCCCACCAAGGGCCGAACGAUCCGUAGCUGGUCUGGAGAGGAUGAUCACGCCAACAGUGGGACUGAGAC
rnacentral:rRNA from 1 species